rnacentral:rRNA from 1 species
AUUGAACGCUGGCGGCAGGCCUAACACAUGCAAGUCGAGCGGUAGCACAGAGAGCUUGCUCUCGGGUGACGAGCGGCGGACGGGUGAGUAAUGUCUGGGAAACUGCCUGAUGGAGGGGGAUAACUACUGGAAACGGUAGCUAAUACCGCAUAACGUCGCAAGACCAAAGAGGGGGACCUUCGGGCCUCUUGCCAUCAGAUGUGCCCAGAUGGGAUUAGCUAGUAGGUGGGGUAACGGCUCACCUAGGCGACGAUCCCUAGCUGGUCUGAGAGGAUGACCAGCCACACUGGAACUGAGACACGGUCCAGACUCCUACGGGAGGCAGCAGUGGGGAAUAUUGCACAAUGGGCGCAAGCCUGAUGCAGCCAUGCCGCGUGUAUGAAGAAGGCCUUCGGGUUGUAAAGUACUUUCAGCGGGGAGGAAGGUGUUGAGGUUAAUAACCUCAGCAAUUGACGUUACCCGCAGAAGAAGCACCGGCUAACUCCGUGCCAGCCGCCGCGGUAACAC